rnacentral:rRNA from 1 species
GAUGAACGCUAGCGACAGGCCUAACACAUGCAAGUCGAGGGGCAUCGGGGCGUAGCAAUACGCUGCCGGCGACCGGCGGAUGGGUGAGUAACGCGUAUGCAACCUACCUUCAGCAGGGGGAUAGCCCGUUGAAAGACGGAUUAAUACCCCAUAACACAGGGGCUCCGCAUGGAGAUUAUUGUUAAAGGGAUGCUUCCUUCGGGGAGUAUUCCGGCUGCAGAUGGGCAUGCGUUCCAUUAGGUAGUUGGUUGAGGUAACGGCUCACCAAGCCUACGAUGGAUAGGGGAACUGAGAGGUUGGUCCCCCAACUGGUACUGAGACACGGACCAGACUCCUACGGGAGGCAGCAGUGAGGAAUCUUGGUCAAUGGACGGAAGUCUGAACCAGCCAUGUCGCGUGAAGGAGGACGGCCCUAAGGGUUGUAAACUUCUUUUGCAGGGGGAAUAAAGGUAUUCCACGAGAUGGGAUAUUGCAAGUACGCUGCGAAUAAGGAUCGGCUAACUCCG